CCCAAGGGGUCAUGGGGCAAGGCUGGAAAGCCGCCCAUGACAGUCUACGUGUAACAUGUCUUCUCUUUAACAAUCUUAAUUCCCGUUUCUCUUUCUUUCUACCCCAAUAUCCCAAUCUGAAAUUUGCUACGUCCACAGAGAAAAAGUACAACAAUAAUUCAUCAUAAUCAAAGCGUAACACCAAGAAAUGGCGAAAACCAGACUAUGUUGGUGGGUUAUGCUUUCUUCUGCAAAGGCUCUUUCUAUAAUUUGAGAUAGCGACGAUGUAAUAAUUUAUGGAAAUGGUUCCUAUUGAACUUCUGACGGUACGGUCUUUAUGUUAUCAUCUUUAUGCAAAACCUUGAAGAUGUUAGACAUGCUUCAGACAACUAACUAUAUACAUUUAGAAGAUCUUGAGUCUUGACCCGUAGCAUGUAAUAUAAAAUGAUUCUUGUACAUUACAAAUUACACAUUUGAUUGCAUGCUAGUAGAUCAAUGUAGAGCUGUUACUCUUGAAUCAA